GUGGUAGCGCAGUUUGUGAGCGGCGGUGAAUCACCGUGUAUGACUACUGGGGUGCAGGAACCUCGCUGACAGUGACUUCAGAGGAUGAGGCCUUGCCUUCAGUCCAUAUGACCUCUUCCUGCAACACAGAAUCUGAGCAAGAGAUCAGCAUCCUCUGUCUGGUCAAAGACUACCAGCCUGAGAUCAUCAGUCAGACAUGGUCCACCAGCAGUGGGGACAUCACCACUGGAAUCACAAAGUACCCACCAGUGUUGGGACAAAACAACAAGUACACAAUGAGCAGCUUGCUGCGAGUCCCUGUGGCAGCUUGGAACAGGAAAACCGUCUACUACUGCAAGGCAGGAUACAAGCCGGCCAACAUGGUGAAAACGGAGAUCCAGAAGCCUCAAGCUCCACAGCUCAUCCCCCUUGUUCCAUCCGCGGAGGUUCUCCACAAUCAAACAACUGCUGCCCUGGGCUGCAUGAUAUCCGGAUUCUUUCCUAACAAUGUUAAAGUUUCCUGGAAAAAAUCUGGACUUAAUCAAGCGGGCGUCGUUCUCCCGUCCACUCCGGGAACUAACGGUAGAUUUGAAACAGUUGCUUACCUGCGGUUGCGUGUGGAGGAAUGGACCAACAAACAGGAAUAUACUUGUGAAGUGACUCAUGCACCUUCCGGCUUCAGCGACAGGAUCAACAUGAGAUAUCAAGAGGAAUUGUCCGUCUUCAUUCAAAAUCCUGGCAUGAAAGAGAUUUGGAUCAACAAGACUGCUACGCUGGUGUGUUCAGUGAUCUGUAGUGAUCUGAGCCAGGUCCAUCUCACCUGGAAGGUGGGAGGAAAGGAGAGAAGUGAAGGAGUUGUGACCCGUACACCGAGCCAUGAAGGCACCCGAAACGCAAUGAUCAGUGAACUCCGGACCAGCGUGGAGGAGUGGACCAGCGGGGUGGAGUUUGUGUGCUUCGCCCAACGAUCUCCAUCAUCCUCACCAGUGUCAGCGCGGACCAACCAUAACAAAGUUGAGCCAAAAAAACCUGAAGUCAGACUGCUGCUUCCAGCACACGCAGAGACCAAGCCUAGCCACAAGGUCACCCUCGAGUGUGUGGUCUCUGGAUUCUACCCAGACCUCAUCAACGUCACUUGGAGUAAAGACGGUGCCCUGAUCUCCAACAACACCAGCGUUGCACCAACUGCUCUGGAGCAGGGGGGCACUUUCAGUGCCAGCCACUUCCUGACCAUGAACACAGAGGAUUGGAAGUCAGGCUCACACUUCAAUUGUACAGUGCAUCAUGGCGCCUCCAACACCAUCAUCACGAAGGAUGUGAAGAACAUCCAAGAUGAAUGUUCAGAUACCCGCCCCUCGGUCACUUUAAGCAAACCUUCCUUCGAAGAGAUCUGGAUCAACAAGACAGCCACCAUUCAGUGUAAGGUGGUUCACGGUGAUUUAGAGGGAUUCAGGGUAACCUGGCAAGUGAAUGGAAUGAAGAGAGAAGACGGGGUGACAACUCGUGGUGUAGAGAGGACCGGAGGUACAGACACCAUCACCAGCGGACUGACGGUCCCCGCUGCAGAGUGGGAGAGUGGGGCUCUGUACACCUGUGUGGUGGAGGACAAGAGUUUGCCAACACCGGAGAGGAGAUCCUUGGAGAAGCCGACAGAUGGAGUUGAGAGACAUCCUCAAGUCUACCUCCUCCCCCCUUCAUUGGAUGAGGUGGAGACGGAUAAGACAGCCACCUUGACGUGCCUGGUCACCAGAUUCUCUCCUGCAGACAUCUAUGUGGCCUGGAUGGCCAACGACACCCUUCUGAAGACAGGGAUUGUGAACCAGCCCGUGACCGAGGACACCAGGAAUGGGUGGAACACCAUGACCAGUCAGUUGAAGGUUUCUCCAGAGGAGUGGAACAGUGGCACCACCUUCUCCUGUGUUGUGGGACACAGCUCCAUCACAACCAGUCUAUUCAGAAGCAUCAAUAAAUCUCACAGCAAACCCACCCUGGUCAAUGUCUCACUUGUUCUGACUGAUAGCUUUAAAUCUUGUGUGUAACAUGAUUAAUUUCUCAAACAUUUGUUUUGUUCAUUUCUGGAUUUAUUAACUGACCCAGAGGAUGAUGGGUUAGCUCCUUUGUAAAUCAUUAAAAACAAAAUUCCACACGAGAUACAAAUUAAGCCACAACCAUGAUUCACCACAAAUGUCUGAGCUUCUGGAUACAUUUACAGAACAUUUACUGCCAUGUUUGAUCAGAUUUCAACCCUGUAUGAGAUCACACGAGGUAUUAAAUCUAUGUAUGUGUCAAUGUACCAAUACAAGUUCAAUAAAUAUGAUGUGAAACAG